UCAAGUACAAACUCUUUCAAACCCACCUAGCAGGCUAGCACCUACUACAUAAGCAAAUCACCAAGGUGGUGAUCAACCAAAUACCAUGAAUAAACAGAGUACACCACUUUGUGCAUACAGAAAUAAACCAUGAACAGAAUCAAAACAUGAACAGAGUAAACAGAAUUCACAGGAACAUGAACAGAAUCAGAAUCAGAAUCAGAACAUGAUCAACCAAAUACCAUGAAUAAACAGAAUACACCAACGAACAUGAACAGAGAGCAACAUGUUUUCUGUGAUAGAGAAGAACAGGAACAAGAACAGAACCAUGAACGGAGGUGGAAGGAAGAGUAUUACCGGCGAGCUGGGCGAGGUGGAGAGCUGGGCGACGACGGUGGAGGUGGGAAGCUGGGCGACGGCGAUGGAGGAGAGGUGCGACGGUGGAGGUGGCGAGCUGGGGGACUACGAUGGAGGACCGGAGCUCUGCGACGGCGAUGGAAGAGAGGUGCGACGGCGAUGAGUGGCUGUGGCCUGUCGGAGGGUGAGAGGGUGAGAGAAACUGAGUGGCUGAAGAGGGUGAGACGGUGAUGAAGAGGCUGAAGAGGGUGAGAGGC